rnacentral:lncRNA from 1 species
GUCAAUGGUUCUCUAUGGGCUUUCAGAGUGAGUGGCGGGAAGGCGGCCCCGAGGCAUGCUGGGAGUUGUAGUCCUGCCGUAGUCAAUGGUUCUCUAUGGGCUUUCAGAGUGAGUGGCGGGAAGGCGGCCCCGAGGCAUGCUGGGAGUUGCAGCGCCAUGUUUUAAAGCACGCGUUUCUCUGUAUAGUCCUGGCUGUGGGUUUUUCACUAAUUAUUUCUUUUAGCUUUAUUUUUAAUUUUUACUUUUUCACACAGGAUUUCUCUUUAGAGCCUUGGCUACCGUUUUUUCCCUAAUUAUUCUUAUUUUCAUUUUGGUUUAUUUUUUUUUAAUUUUGGUUUUUUUAAGACAGGGUUUCUCUGUAUAGACCUGGCUGUGGAUUUUUCACUAAUUAUUUUUUUUGUUUUAUUUUUAAUUUUUACUUUUCCAGACAGGAUUUCUCUUUAUAGCCUUGGCUACCGUUUUUUCCGUAAUUAUUCUCCUUUUCAUUUUUGUUUAUUUUUUAAUUUUAAUUUUUGAUUUUGGAGACAGGGUUUCUCUUUUAGCCGCAGCUAUGGUUUCUGCCCUAAUUAUUCUUGUCCUUAUUUGUAAUUUAAUUCUUAAUUUAAUUUAAUUUAUAAAUUUUGUUGUAAGUUUUUCUGUGGGCGUGAAUGGAAAGUCUAACCCGUGUUUCUCUGUUCAGCCUCCGCCGGUCACGGCCGCCGCCCCCAGCGACGUCACCCACACGCGCAGAAGCGGACGCCGCGGUCAAGAUGUCUCUGCCAUGCCCACGGGACGCACGGACGCACGGACGCACGGACGGACUCCACAAGGUAGGAAGCCUGCGCCGAGCGCACCGCCGCACCCACCACAGCACACAGGACACACGCGGGCCCCGCGCCCGCCCAGGCACACGCGGCACACACGGCACACACGGCAGGCAGGCCAGGCACACGCAUCCGCAGGACCCGCACCCGCCACGCAGACACGGACGAGCCGCCGCGGUCAAGAUGUUCACCCGCCGCGGUCAAGAUGUAUGUGCCACCGACCCUCGCCCCGCUGGACGGACGGACGGACGCGCGCACGCCGUCAGUGAUGUCACCCACGAAAGCACACACGUAGAAGCGGACGCCGUGGUCAAGAUGUCUCUGCCAUCCCCACAGGACGGACGGACGGACUCCACAAGG